UACGAAGGGGGCGAGCGUUGUUCGGAAUUACUGGGCGUAAAGGGCGCGCAGGCGGUCCUUCAAGUCAGAUGUGAAAGCCCCGGGCUCAACCUGGGAACAGCAUUUGAGACUGGAGGACUUGAGGACGGGAGAGGAGAGUGGAAUUCCCAGUGUAGAGGUGAAAUGCGUAGAGAUCGGGAGGAAGGCCGGUGGCGAAGGCGGCGCUCUGGAACGUACCUGACGCUGAGGAGCGAAAGCGUGGGGAGCGAACAGG
rnacentral:rRNA from 1 species